AACGAACGCUGGCGGCAGGCCUAACACAUGCAAGUCGAGCGCCCCGCAAGGGGAGCGGCGGACGGGUGAGUAACGCGUGGGAAUAUGCCCUUUGCUACGGAAUAGUCUCGGGAAACUGGGGGUAAUACCGUAUACGCCCUUUGGGGGAAAGAUUUAUCGGCGAAGGAUUAGCCCGCGUUGGAUUAGGUAGUUGGUGGGGUAAUGGCCCACCAAGCCGACGAUCCAUCGCUGGUUUGAGAGGAUGAUCAGCCACACUGGGGCUGAGACACGGCCCAGACUCCUCGGGAGGGGGGCAGGGGGGACUCUUCAACACGGGGGGAAACCUUAAUGUACCCCGGCCGCGUGAGUCAGUAAUGCCUGAGGGUUGAAAGGCUCUUUCACUGGGGAAGAAAUGGCCGUACCCACUAAAAAAGCCCCCGGUAACCUCCUG
rnacentral:rRNA from 1 species